GCUUCUUCUGUAGGUACGUCCUUUCGCAGAGUUAUUAACCCUACUAAUUCCUCCCUACUGAAAGUGCUUUACAACCCUAGGGCCUUCUUCACACACGCGGCAUGGCUGUGUCAGGCUUUCGCCCAUUGCACAAUAUUCCCUACUGCUGCCUCCCGUAGGAGUCUGGACCGUGUCUCAGUUCCAGUGUGGCUGAUCGUCCUCUCAGACCAGCUAAGGAUCGUAGCUUUGGUGAGCCUUUACCUCACCAACAAGCUAAUCCUACGCAGGCUCCUCCAAUAGUGACCGGUCCGAAGAUCCCGGCCUUUCCCCCGUGGGGCGUAUGCGGUAUUAAUCCGAGUUUCCUCGGGCUAUCCCCCGCUACUGGGUAGAUUCCUACGCGUUACUCACCCGUCCGCCGCUCGACGCCUGGGAGCAAGCUCCCAUCGUUUCCGCUCGACUUGCAUGUAUUAGGCCUGCCGCCAACGUUCAAUCUGAGCCAUGAUCAAACUCU
rnacentral:rRNA from 1 species